CAGCAGCCGCGGUAAAACGGAGGGAGCUAGCGUUGUUCGGAAUUACUGGGCGUAAAGCGCGCGUAGGCGGUUACUCAAGUCAGAGGUGAAAGCCCGGGGCUCAACCCCGGAACUGCCUUUGAAACUAGGUGACUAGAAUCUUGGAGAGGUCAGUGGAAUUCCGAGUGUAGAGGUGAAAUUCGUAGAUAUUCGGAAGAACACCAGUGGCGAAGGCGACUGACUGGACAAGUAUUGACGCUGAGGUGCGAAAGCGUGGGGAGCAAACAGGAUUAGAUACCCCCGUAGUCCCUGUCUCUUAUAA
rnacentral:rRNA from 1 species